rnacentral:lncRNA from 1 species
GUCCGCGUCGCUAGCUAGUCGUUCUGAAGCGGCGGCCAGAGAAGAGUCAAGGGCACGAGCAUCGGAUGAGACGUGCAGGUACCAUCAGGAAGCAGCGGGAUAAGCUGAUAAAGGAAGGAAAGUACACCCCUCCACCUCACCACAUUGGCAAGGGGGAGCCUCGGCCCUGAACAGAGCAGCUGCUGAUGUCUGGAGGCUGAUUUUCCUGUUCUCUGUUCUCCACUGGAAAGGUUGUUUACGACAAACCUCCUUGUCAAAGUGUGUAAAAAUAAAGGAUUGCUCCAUCCU